AGCAGCCGCGGUAAUUCGUAGGGUGCGAGCGUUAAUCGGAAUUACUGGGCGUAAAGCGUGCGCAGGCGGUCUGUUAAGACAGAUGUGAAAUCCCCGGGCUUAACCUGGGAACUGCAUUUGUGACUGGCAGGCUAGAGUAUGGCAGAGGGGGGUAGAAUUCCACGUGUAGCAGUGAAAUGCGUAGAGAUGUGGAGGAAUACCGAUGGCGAAGGCAGCCCCCUGGGCCAAUACUGACGCUCAUGCACGAAAGCGUGGGGAGCAAACAGGAUUAGAUACCCUGGUAGUCCACGCCCUAAACGAUGUCAACUAGUUGUUGGGGAUUCAUUUCCUUAGUAACGUAGCUAACGCGUGAAGUUGACCGCCUGGGGAGUACGGUCGCAAGAUUAAAACUCAAAUGAAUUGACGG
rnacentral:rRNA from 1 species